rnacentral:rRNA from 1 species
GAUGAACGCUAGCGGGAGGCUUAAUACAUGCAAGUCGAGGGGUAACGAUGGAGCUUGCUCCAGGCGACGACCGGCGCACGGGUGAGUAACGCGUACACAACCUACCUUUAAGUGGGGGAUAGCCUCGGGAAACUGAGAUUAAUACCCCAUGUGAUUGUUUUUAUUAUUUAUGAACAAUUAAAGAUCCGUCGCUUAAAGAUGGGUGUGCGUAUGAUUAGAUAGUUGGUGAGGUAACGGCUCACCAAGUCUACGAUCAUUAGGGGGCGUGAGAGCGUGGCCCCCCACACGGGUACUGAGACACGGACCCGACUCCUACGGGAGGCAGCAGUAAGGAAUAUUGGACAAUGGGCGCAAGCCUGAUCCAGCUAUCCCGCGUGUAGGAUGACUGCCCUAUGGGUUGUAAACUACUUUUGUUAGGGAAGAAACGCCUUCAUUUAUGAGGGCCUGACGGUACCUAAAGAAUAAGCACCGGCUAACUCCG